rnacentral:rRNA from 1 species
CCUACGGGUGGCAGCAGUGGGGAAUAUUGGACAAUGGGCGAAAGCCUGAUCCAGCCAUGCCGCGUGUGUGAAGAAGGCCUUCGGGUUGUAAAGCACUUUCAGUGGGGAAGAAAGCCUUGGGGCUAAUACCCUCGAGGAAGGACAUCACCCACAGAAGAAGCACCGGCUAACUCCGUGCCAGCAGCCGCGGUAAUACGGAGGGUGCGAGCGUUAAUCGGAAUUACUGGGCGUAAAGCGCGCGUAGGCGGUCUGAUAAGCCGGUUGUGAAAGCCCCGGGCUCAACCUGGGAACGGCCUCCGGAACUGUCAGGCUAGAGUGCAGGAGAGGAAGGUAGAAUUCCCGGUGUAGCGGUGAAAUGCGUAGAGAUCGGGAGGAAUACCAGUGGCGAAGGCGGCCUUCUGGACUGACACUGACGCUGAGGUGCGAAAGCGUGGGUAGCAAACAGGAUUAGAUACCCUUGUAGUC